rnacentral:misc_RNA from 1 species
AACCUAGCACACCUGCGGUGUGUACCUGCGGAGGGAUCAUUACACAACAAAAUAUGAAGGUCUGGCUUCGCGGCCGGCUGAAGUAUUUUUUUUCACCCAUGUCUUUUGCGCACUUGUUGUUUCCUGGGCGGGUUCGCCCGCCACCAGGACCAAACCAUAAACCUUUUUUUAUGUAGUUGCAAUCAGCGUCAGUAAAAACAAUGUAAUUAUUACAACUUUCAACAACGGAUCUCAGAUCGG